UUAAACGUGACAAAACUUAAAAACAUUCUUACAAUAAGAAAACUAAUGUCUAAGACGGCGGCUUUUGCGAUUGUUGAAACAUAUGCAUCAUCUGCUGAAGCUGUAGCUGGAGGUCAUCGUACUUUUUGCUCUGUUCUGCUACCAUCGCUCGUGCCUCUGCCUCUCUCGCUGCAGCCGCUGCCUCCCUCUCUGCUGCCUCCGCUCUAAGUUGUUGCUGGAGUUCUUCGUAUUUUCGUUGAACCUCGGCAAUUUGCUCAACCGUGUUCGCUUGCAUCUGAGCUAUCUGGUCUCUUAACCUCUGAACUUCAGCUUGAGCUUGACUUCCGGAAGGCAUGUAUUGCUGGGAGCCGGAUCCAAAAUAUUGGGUCGGGGUAACACC
rnacentral:lncRNA from 1 species